UGGGGAAUAUUGCACAAUGGGCGCAAGCCUGAUGCAGCCAUGCCGCGUGUGUGAAGAAGGCCUUCGGGUUGUAAAGCACUUUCAGCGAGGAGGAAGGUGGUGAACUUAAUACGUUCAUCAAUUGACGUUACUCGCAGAAGAAGCACCGGCUAACUCCGUGCCAGCAGCCGCGGUAAUACGGAGGGUGCAAGCGUUAAUCGGAAUUACUGGGCGUAAAGCGCACGCAGGCGGUUUGUUAAGUCAGAUGUGAAAUCCCCGGGCUCAACCUGGGAACUGCAUUUGAAACUGGCAAGCUAGAGUCUCGUAGAGGGGGGUAGAAUUCCAGGUGUAGCGGUGAAAUGCGUAGAGAUCUGGAGGAAUACCGGUGGCGAAGGCGGCCCCCUGGACGAAGACUGACGCUCAGGUGCGAAAGCGUGGGGAGCAAACAGAUUAGNUACCCUGGUAGUCCACGCUGUAAACGAUGUCGAUUUUGGA
rnacentral:rRNA from 1 species